rnacentral:rRNA from 1 species
GACGAACGCUGGCGGCGUGCUUAACACAUGCAAGUCGAACGGAAAGGCCCUGCUUUUGUGGGGUGCUCGAGUGGCGAACGGGUGAGUAACACGUGAGUAACCUGCCCUUGACUUUGGGAUAACUUCAGGAAACUGGGGCUAAUACCGGAUAGGAGCUCCUGCUGCAUGGUGGGGGUUGGAAAGUUUCGGCGGUUGGGGAUGGACUCGCGGCUUAUCAGCUUGUUGGUGGGGUAGUGGCUUACCAAGGCUUUGACGGGUAGCCGGCCUGAGAGGGUGACCGGCCACAUUGGGACUGAGAUACGGCCCAGACUCCUACGGGAGGCAGCAGUGGGGAAUAUUGCACAAUGGGCGGAGGCCUGAUGCAGCAACGCCGCGUGCGGGAUGACGGCCUUCGGGUUGUAAACCGCUUUCGCCUGUGACGAAGCGUGAGUGACGGUAAUGGGUAAAGAAGCACCGGCUAACUACGUGCCAGCAGCCGCGGUGAUACGUAGGGUGCGAGCGUUGUCCGGAUUUAUUGGGCGUAAAGGGCUCGUAGGUGGUUGAUCGCGUCGGAAGUGUAAUCUUGGGGCUUAACCCUGAGCGUGCUUUCGAUACGGGUUGACUUGAGGAAGGUAGGGGAGAAUGGAAUUCCUGGCGGAGCGGUGGAAUGCGCAGAUAUCAGGAGGAACACCAGUGGCGAAGGCGGUUCUCUGGGCCUUUCCUGACGCUGAGGAGCGAAAGCGUGGGGAGCGAACAGGCUUAGAUACCCUGGUAGUCCACGCUGUAAACGGUGGGUACUAGGUGUGGGGUCCAUUCCACGGGUUCCGUGCCGUAGCUAACGCUUUAAGUACCCCGCCUGGGGAGUACGGCCGCAAGGCUAAAACUCAAAGGAAUUGACGGGGCCCCGCACAAGCGGCGGAGCAUGCGGAUUAAUUCGAUGCAACGCGUAGAACCUUACCUGGGUUUGACAUGGAUCGGGAGUGCUCAGAGAUGGGUGUGCCUCUUUUGGGGUCGGUUCACAGGUGGUGCAUGGCUGUCGUCAGCUCGUGUCGUGAGAUGUUGGGUUAAGUCCCGCAACGAGCGCAACCCUUGUUCACUGUUGCCAGCACGUUAUGGUGGGGACUCAGUGGAGACCGCCGGGGUCAACUCGGAGGAAGGUGGGGAUGACGUCAAGUCAUCAUGCCCCUUAUGUCCAGGGCUUCACGCAUGCUACAAUGGCUGGUACAGAGAGUGGCGAGCCUGUGAGGGUGAGCGAAUCUCGGAAAGUCGGUCUCAGUUCGGAUUGGGGUCUGCAACUCGACCUCAUGAAGUCGGAGUCGCUAGUAAUCGCAGAUCAGCAACGCUGCGGUGAAUACGUUCCCGGGGCU